GUGAUGCUCAGCUUGCCUCCAGUUUCUCUUCCAAAUAAGUACUUAAGGGUUAAUUUAAAGCCAAGUUCAGACACACAACAGCAUUGCAAACUAAAUCGGAGGUUCAUUUUUGCACAGAAUGAGUACUGUGGAUUUUGUCCCCAAUCACUUACACAUUGAAAUCAUAAAAUGAAAAGAUUUCUUUGCAGAAUUUCGAAAAUAGAGCCCUCCUCCUGCAGCUGUCCACUUUCUGACCUUAGAAGGCUUAACUAUUAGUAACAUUUUCUCUCCAUGUCUGAAACGCUUCGCCGAUAUUGUUUUAUUGCAUUCAUUGUCAGACUCUUUUAGAGUCUUUUUUUUAGAAGUCCGUCUUCAUUUUUUUGGGUUGUUCUGCAGUGUGGACAGUUGUUGCCAGUGUUGGAAUAGCAACUUUUUCAAGGAUUUUCCACCAUUGAAUCAGGCUCUCGGAUCACUUGAAUUACAAUAUAUUGAAAGGGUAUUACGGAAUUUUUGCCCAAUGACGCCAAAACAAAAAUAAUUAGGCAGAAACAAUCUUUCAGGAAGUUUUGUAGAGGGGUAUUUGUGUUCAAAGAAGUACUUGUUGUGUACGACUAAAAUGAGUCGUAGUAAUAGACUCAUUUACUACUACUGAGGCUGUUUCUGCAGCAGCAAAUCAGGUAAUAUUUUAACACUGUGCGGUAUACAUAUUGCAUAUGGCUGAUGGGAGUCUCCUCAUCUCACUCAGCCCCUUUUGCCCCCCAGCAUGGUUUUUUCAGAUCCCCUACAAUCCACAGCGUGACCCCGAGCUGACCUGUUUUGAGCAACAUCUCCACAGUGUAACUGUCCUUGACAAUGAAACGGGGCAAAGUCCUGGCCUGGCCUGGCCUGGCCUCUCCACUCGGGGCCUUUUAGCCUGGCACUGUGACCAGGAAAAGAGGGCCACAGGCACACAGAGAAGGUCUUGUCUGCCUCUCAUAUCAAACUCACUGACCCCCCACAGUCACCUUUAACCUCCCCGAAAAACUCACCCUGACUCAGUACAGCCCCUCGUCUGCUGAGAAUGACAGCUGAGUUGACAGCAGCAAUAUGCUUUGAAGUGUCAAGUCAAGUCCCUCCAUUGUCUCUGUGAGUAGGGCGCCGAGCCGCUCAAGUGCACAAUAGUGCAGUGGUGUGUGAGUGUCGUUGUUCACAUUCUUGACAGUGUGAGGGUUGCUUCAUGUGUACAUUUAAACUUGUCCAUGUGGGCAGACACGAAGGAGCUGAGUUUGCCUUUUCCUUUUAGAGCCUCUGUAUAUAUUAUCCUUUUGUCCGGGCCAAGCUGUUCUGCAUUUCUAAUGUGAGAAAGGCCUCAACAAGCCUCUUUCAGAAUGACGACAAAAAACACCAACGGUACAACAGUUUCUCUCGCUAAUCCUCUGAUUUCUAAACCUAGGCAGAGACUGAAACUGUUUUGUUUUGAUGGUUUGAGAGGAGAUAAGUAAUUAGUGAUUAGCUUGACAGUUUUUACCAUUCAUUUGAGUGAGAUCUCCGGUAAUUAGAGCUUAAGGGAAUUUUUUUGCCCUGUAUUUAUUGAAGGAAAGAUGAGACUACUUUUGCCCAGAGGUCUGACUGUAACACUGUGCUCAGACCUUAAUACCUCGCCAGAGGGGCGUCACUCAUGGAGGUCCUGGGCUUGUGUUGGGAGCUGUCCACUUGUGAGAGUGUAAAACCUGGAAGGGACAGCCUUUAACUAAACCCACAACAACAUCCAGCCAAGAUUUAUAGUCUGAUAGCUGCACCAGAAAAAUGUCCUCCAGGAGCUUUCGCUGUAGGCUGGUAUUGUUUACUUAUUUACACCUUAUCAGUUAUCAAUCCCAAAAACUUUUUUGAAUUCAUAAUAAAUUGAUAAAUUUCAAUUUUAUGCAUUAUUUAAAACAAAAUAUAUAGUGAUGAAAUUAUGAGAUUAUUGUGUUUUUGCUUUAAGCGUACUGCGAAAGAAAUGAUUCCAUUAACAAGUAGAAUUUUAUGUAAUCCAUAGAAUCGGCUAGUAUCACACACAAAAAUCUGCCAAUGGGAUAAGCAAAACAAUUAUUGCAUAAUCCAUGUAGUUUUCUCUAUAUAAUCUUUCAUUUUGGGAAAACAUUUUUCGCUUUCCGCCUGUUAAGAUAGGAAGAUUGAUACCACUGAUAUCUGAGAGUGAUAUCAAUCUGAUCUUCUCUCAACUUUCAGGAAAAAAAGCCAAGUGCAUUUCCCCAAACUAUUCUUUUUGGAAUAUUACUAAAUUAUAAUGUUCAUUCUUGUUUAUUGUCAGAUCUAGAUGAAAAAUAGAUUUAUAUCUUACUAACU